CAACAAUUUUACUACAUGAGACCAAAACAAAUGAAAAAGUAGGAACUUUUAUAAAGCAAAAGAAAACGCAUCAGGUACUCAAUCACAAUAAAAAAAAGGUCGUACCCAGUGCACAAGGCUCCCGCUUUAAGCAGGGUCUGGGAGAGGUGAAUGUCGGCUAGUCUUACCCCCAUUUAUGGAGAGGCUGCUCCCAAGUCUCGAACCCGAGACCUACCGCUCAUGGGCGAAGGCACUUGCCAUCGCACCAGGUACUCAAUCACAAUGAACUAGAAAAACAAAAAAACGAAAACAAACAGAAAAAAAAAAAAAAACAAACAGAAUGAACUCCACAACCGGAGCAUAAAAAGUACCAUAGUUAGAACACCAUAUAAGCACGACAUGACUUUAGAUUAAAACAUAACUACACAAUCUAUAAGUUGGGUUAUCAAUUCCAUAAUGAAGGUGGCAAGGACAAGGAAGCAAUGUGCAGAGGAGUAACGAUCAUUUCGCAACCUAUAGAGAUAUAUUAUAUUAUUAUAUAAAUAAAAGGAGAUCAGUGAAACAUUCAAAAUACCAACA
rnacentral:lncRNA from 1 species